CCUACGGGUGGCAGCAGUGAGGAAUAUUGGUCAAUGGGCGCGAGCCUGAACCAGCCAAGUAGCGUGAAGGAUGACUGCCCUACGGGUCGUAAACUUCUUUUAUAAAGGAAUAAAGUGAGGCACGUGUGCCUUUUUGUAUGUACUUUAUGAAUAAGGAUCGGCUAACUCCGUGCCAGCAGCCGCGGUAAUACGGAGGAUCCGAGCGUUAUCCGGAUUUAUUGGGUUUAAAGGGAGCGUAGAUGGGUUGUUAAGUCAGUUGUGAAAGUUUGCGACUCAACCGUAAAAUUGCAGUUGAUACUGGCAGUCUUGAGUACAGUUGAGGUAGGCGGAAUGCGUGGUGUAGCGGUGAAAUGCUUAGAUAUCACGAAGAACCCCGAUUGCGAAGGCAGCUUGCUAACCUGUGACUGACAUUGAUGCACGAAAGUGUGGGUAUCAAACAGGAUUAGAUACCCCAGUAGUC
rnacentral:rRNA from 1 species